rnacentral:rRNA from 1 species
CCUACGGGGGGCUGCAGUGGGGAAUUUUGGACAAUGGGCGCAAGCCUGAUCCAGCCAUUCCGCGUGAGUGAAGAAGGCCUUCGGGUUGUAAAGCUCUUUCGCAAGGGAAGAAAACUUAUCCUCUAACAUAGGAUGAGGUUGACGGUACCUUGAUAAGAAGCACCGGCUAACUACGUGCCAGCAGCCGCGGUAAUACGUAGGGUGCGAUCGUUAAUCGGAAUUACUGGGCGUAAGGUUUGCGCGGGCUGUUUGAAAUCCCCGAGCUAAACUUGGGAACUGCGUUUGAAACUACAAGACUAGAAUAGGUCAGAGGGGGGUAGAAUUCCACGUGUAGCAGUGAAAUGCGUAGAGAUGUGGAGGAAUAUCAAUGGCGAAGGCAGCCCCCUGGGAUCAUAUUGACGCUCAUGCACGAAAGCGUGGGGAGCAAACAGGAUUAGAUACCCUGGUGUC